AACGAACGCUGGCGGCAGGCUUAACACAUGCAAGUCGAGCGCCCCGCAAGGGGAGCGGCAGACGGGUGAGUAACGCGUGGGAAUCUACCCAUCUCUACGGAAUAACGCAUGGAAACGUGUGCUAAUACCGUAUACGUCCUUCGGGAGAAAGAUUUAUCGGAGAUGGAUGAGCCCGCGUUGGAUUAGCUAGUUGGUGGGGUAAAGGCCUACCAAGGCGACGAUCCAUAGCUGGUCUGAGAGGAUGAUCGGCCACACUGGGACUGAGACACGGCCCAGACUCCUACGGGAGGCAGCAGUGGGGAAUAUUGGACAAUGGGCGCAAGCCUGAUUCAGCCAUGCCGCGUGAGUGAUGAAGGCCCUAGGGUUGUAAAGCUCUUUCACCGGUGAAGAUAAUGACGGUAACCGGAGAAGAAGCCCCGGCUAACUUCGUGCCAGCCGCCGCAGUAAAAC
rnacentral:rRNA from 1 species